rnacentral:rRNA from 1 species
AACGAACGCUGGCGGCAGGCUUAACACAUGCAAGUCGAGCGCCCCGCAAGGGGAGCGGCAGACGGGUGAGUAACGCGUGGGAACGUACCCUUCUCUACGGAAUAACACAGAGAAAUUUGUGCUAAUACCGUAUACGCCCUUUGGGGGAAAGAUUUAUCGGAGAAGGAUCGGCCCGCGUAGGAUUAGCUAGUUGGUGUGGUAACGGCGCACCAAGGCGACGAUCCUUAGCUGGUCUGAGAGGAUGACCAGCCACACUGGGACUGAGACACGGCCCAGACUCCUACGGGAGGCAGCAGUGGGGAAUAUUGGACAAUGGGCGCAAGCCUGAUCCAGCCAUGCCGCGUGAGUGAUGAAGGCCUUAGGGUUGUAAAGCUCUUUCACCCACGACGAUAAUGACGGUAGUGGGAGAAGAAGCCCCGGCUAACUUCGUG